ensembl:Y_RNA Y_RNA Y RNA
GACUAGUUCAAUGGUAGUGGUUUAUCAGAACUUAUAAACAUUAGUGUCACCAGAAGUUGGUAUACAACCCCCUACUGCUAAAUUUGACUGGCUUAAU